UACGUAGGGUGCAAGCGUUAAUCGGAAUUACUGGGCGUAAAGCGUGCGCAGGCGGUUAUAUAAGACAGUUGUGAAAUCCCCGGGCUCAACCUGGGAACUGCAUCUGUGACUGUAUAGCUAGAGUACGGUAGAGGGGGAUGGAAUUCCGCGUGUAGCAGUGAAAUGCGUAGAUAUGCGGAGGAACACCGAUGGCGAAGGCAAUCCCCUGGACCUGUACUGACGCUCAUGCACGAAAGCGUGGGGGGCGAACAGG
rnacentral:rRNA from 1 species